rnacentral:rRNA from 1 species
AAUAUUGCACAAUGGGUGAAACCCUGAUGCAGCGACGCCGCUUGAGCUAAUAAUGCCUUCUUGUCGUAAAGCUCUUUCCUAAGGGAAGAAACGGACGGUACCUUAUUAGGAAGCCCCGGCUAACUACGUGCCAGCAGCCGCGGUAAUACGUAGGGGGCGAGCGUUAUCCGGAAUUACUGGGCGUAAAGGGUGCGUAGGCGGCCUUUUAAGUCAGAUGUGAAAGGCUACGGCUUAACCGUAGUUAGCAUUUGAACCUAAAAGGCUUGAGUGCAGGAGAGGAGAGUGGAAUUCCUAGUGUAGCGGUGAAAUGCGUAGAUAUUAGGAGGAACACAAGUGGCGAAGGCGACUCUCUGGACUGCAACUGACGCUGAGGCACGAAAGCGUGGGGAGCGAAC